rnacentral:rRNA from 1 species
GACGAACGCUGGCGGCGUGCUUAACACAUGCAAGUCGAACGGAAAGGCCCUGCUUUUGUGGGGUGCUCGAGUGGCGAACGGGUGAGUAACACGUGAGUAACCUGCCCUUGACUUUGGGAUAACUUCAGGAAACUGGGGCUAAUACCGGAUAGGAGCUCCUGCUGCAUGGUGGGGGUUGGAAAGUUUCGGCGGUUGGGGAUGGACUCGCGGCUUAUCAGGUUGUUGGUGGGGUAGUGGCUUACCAAGGCUUUGACGGGUAGCCGGCCUGAGAGGGUGACCGGCCACAUUGGGACUGAGAUACGGCCCAGACUCCUACGGGAGGCAGCAGUGGGGAAUAUUGCACAAUGGGCGGAAGCCUGAUGCAGUAACGCCGCGUGCGGGAUGACGGCCUUCGGGUUGUAAACCGCUUUCGCCUGUGACGAAGCGUGAGUGACGGUAAUGGGUAAAGAAGCACCGGCUAACUACGUG